rnacentral:rRNA from 1 species
GACAGAGGGUGCAAACGUUGUUCGGAAUUACUGGGCGUAAAGGGCUCGUAGGCGGCCAACUAAGUCGGAUGUGAAAUCCCCAGGCUCAACUUGGGAACUGCAUCCGAUACUGGAUGGCUUGAAUCCGGGAGAGGGAUGCAGAAUUCCUGGUGUAGCGGUGAAAUGCGCAGAUAUCAGGAGGAACACCGGUGGCGAAGGCGGGUCUCUGGGCCGAUACUGACGCUGAGGAGCGAAAGCGUGGGGAGCGAACAGG